UGUAAAUGCUAACAUUCAAAUUAAUUAAAUGUGAUAAGUGAACUAAACUCAAUUUUCAUCAACCUGUUGUGAACACUACUUUUAAAUAAGUAAGUAGUAAUUUGGGGUUGGAGAACUUGCUUAACUUGAUAUAUCCCAGUUAAGUCAAAUUAGAAAAAAUAAUUUCUUGUACCCAGUGUCCUUUGGGCGUUCUAUCAGACAUGCGCAGAUCUGCCCUGCCCACUUUCGCGCUCUUUCCAACACCUUUCUCAGUUAUUUUCGCCAUUGUGGGUUUACUUGUCCUCAGCACACUGAUUUGGCACUGCUGCAAUCGUCACACUUUUUCUGUUACAAACUGACCCGGCCCCUCAUCAGAGAAGGGAAAAGUCAUGUGGCCUUCACAGGAAAAGGUUUGGGGACCCCUGCUUUAGAGUGUUUGUCAUCUGCCCUUCCAUUUGCUUUUCUUCAUGUGCAGUGCUCCCCCUCCAUGUUUGAUCAAACUGCACUGAUAAUUUGAAAUUGUUUUAAAAUGCAUUAAUCGCAAAAAUCAGAGGACUAGAUCACAUUUCCCCCUGUUAUUUCACCACUUUAACUUUGGUCUAACCUAAUAUAGGAAUACAGAUAGAAAGAGUGCAGAGAUCACACUCGACGCCAUAACAACCUGGUGUGUUUAAGGUUGGUCAUUUAUGUGCCUAUAUUUUGAAAUUGUUGCCUUAAUUUUGUGUUCUUUUUCACCAUCCCCCAAUCAGGCUGAAGCAAAUGGUCAAAAGUCCACACAUACCUCAGUCUCAGCAAUUACAGGUCAACCAAAGCAGUAUUCUCUAAUGCAGUGGACUUGCAAGUACUGCACAUUUUCUGCUGAAAAGAGCCUACUUGCUUAAGCAUUACCGCUUAAAACAUGGAUACCACACUCGGACAUCCCUACUCCCAUGUCUUCAUAAGGACUGCCUCUGCACAUUUAAAUCUUUUAAUGCACUCAAAGUACACCUAUCGACAUGGCACUCUCAAAAAGAUGCAGGCAAAAGUGGAGAAACUGCAUUUGACCGUCAGUUGUGCAACUUUGUGGAGCCCUGCUCAGGAGCAGACUUCUUUACCCAUUUGCGAGGAUAUCUUAAGCUGAGGCAAAUGGUUACUUGCCCAUAUCAAGACUAACUUUCAGAGCAGUAUUUAUUCGACCUUCACUGCACACAAAAGCAAAGAAAUGUGAAAUGUGUUUGAGCCAUAGUGUGGGUAGGACAUUUGUGUCUAAAUCAUUCAAUCCCAAUAAAAGUUGCGUUAAUAAAAAAAAAACUUAUUUUUAAUCAAAGAAAAAGAACCUUUUGCAAAAAUAUAUUUUUUUGAAAAUAUAUAUAUUUUUAAAUAUAUAUAUUUUUUUAUUGACGUGUCACUUUUUUUUAAAGGAAAAAGUUUAAAA